CACCGGUUCCCAAGACAUUUUAUCCUUGUAUUUUGCACCUAGCGGGACCCCAAGAUAUUUAAAACAUUCAUGGCAAAUUCAUCAAAGAUUGUCAAAUUUUUGUAUAAUGUUUAAGAAUAUUUUGGAAUCUGUACUUUCCAGAUUUCCAUUCAUAUUUCUAAUUUCAAAUAAAAAAUAAAAAAAGAAAAACUUGAAAACGUGACAGAUUCUUCUUGAAAUUCAGUUUAGGAGAAAAUUGCAAGAGUUUAGACAAGGUCAAUGGAUGAAGGCACUGAAUAUACAAUGGAAAGAAUGCUGAAAGGACCAAAGUCCACACUUGAUAUUUCAUUUGUUUUCCCAAAACACCAAGCUUUGGGAAUGGAGUUAACAGAGGUGUUGAAAAACCCAAAAAGGCCUCAGUCUCACAACAGAAAACUUUUCUAAUGACCAUUUGAUCAUGAAGGUAGGUUGUAAUCAGAGAGUGAGCAUAGAAAUGAUACUUCUAAUAACAUUUGGUUUAUUUAUCAUUCAUUACUUCCUACUUCCAACUUCUGCAAUCAUCAUCAUUGCUCCAAACACGAGCAACGAUCUCAUAGCUAGUUCUAGACAUAUCACCUGCACUUUUCUUUAACCAAAAUCCCUCUUUCCUAUGCAAACUUUUAUCUUUAAUCAAAGUGAUCGUUUUUACCUUAUACAACACACAAUUAAGUCACUAAACAUUAUAUAUGAUUGCUUAUCUUCCUUAUAUUUUCCCAUCAUGAUGUUUUUCCGUUCAAGAUCCAUAUCCUCAGCUUUUGGCAGCUCUUGAAUAUUUUCAUUGAAGGAUUACAUUAGUUUUUUUUAGUAUUAAUGACAAUAAUGUUUUGAAAGUAAUAGUAAUAAUAAUAAGAGGAGAAAAUAUAAAAUGAACCACAUUUCCCAGCAAUAACAAUGAAGGUUUUUUUCUUCUGAUCAUCUUAUAAGAUAUUUAAUACCCACAUUCAAAAUUGAGGCAAUUUAUAAAUUUUACUUGAUCAGAUAUUGGUUAUACAACAAAUUUCCACAUCAACCUCAAUGACUAUCUAAUACUAUCAAAGACUCCGAUAUCCACAACCUCGUACACCGUCCAUUAUCGAUAAUAUGUCAUUCUCAAAACCAUAAAAAAGCAGAACAAACAAAUUAAAAUCGCCAAAACUUGAAGAGGCAAACAAUUUAAAGCUGCAAAAAUGUCAUCAACAAAUUACAAAUUAAAAUCCACAUGCAAAAAAAAAAACUACCAGAGCCAAAUGGAUAAGAGGAUACCUUGGGCACGAGAGGAUGAUGCUCCGAUGCAAGAUUGGUGAAAGAGAGAAGCGUGAGUAUGUGGAAACUUUGGUUGCUCCAAGAAAAAUAUGAAGCGGGGCUGCGAAUUGCAGUGAUAUCCAGUGGUACUUAACGGCAAGCUGGAGCUAGCUGAUAAUGGAGGUUGACCAUGAGAAGGUGCUAUUUCCUUGAAUUCAAGAGCGUCGGAGGGAGGAGAAAGAGAUGUUAGGUUUUGCGCGUUAGAGAAGAAAGAAAAAAACAAAGGGAACAAAGUCUACCUCCCACUGCUAAGCUAAGUGACGGAGGGAUUUGGGCGAGGUGAGAAUGGAGGAUAAUGGCGAUGGGUCUAGGUUUUGGUAAUGGGAUGAAGAAGAGUGGGCUGAAAUCCGUCGCCGUAUAGUUUAACUCGGUGCUGUAACUUUAAACUAUAAAUCUGAUGUAU
rnacentral:lncRNA from 1 species